GACGAACGCUGGCGGCGUGCUUAACACAUGCAAGUCGAACGGAAAGGCCCUGCUUUUGUGGGGUGCUCGAGUGGCGAACGGGUGAGUAACACGUGAGUAACCUGCCCUUGACUUUGGGAUAACUUCAGGAAACUGGGGCUAAUACCGGAUAGGAGCUCCUGCUGCAUGGUGGGGGUUGGAAAGUUUCGGCGGUUGGGGAUGGACUCGCGGCUUAUCAGCUUGUUGGUGGGGUAGUGGCUUACCAAGGCUUUGACGGGUAGCCGGCCUGAGAGGGUGACCGGCCCCAUUGGGCCUGAGAUACGGCCCAGACUCCUACGGGAGGCAGCAGUGGGGAAUAUUGCACAAUGGGCGGAAGCCUGAUGCAGCAACGCCGCGUGCGGGAUGACGGCCUUCGGGUUGUAAACCGCUUUCGCCUGUGACGAAGCGUGAGUGACGGUAAUGGGUCAAGAAGCACCGGCUAACUACGUG
rnacentral:rRNA from 1 species